rnacentral:misc_RNA from 1 species
GAUGAAGUACGUAGCGAAAUGCGAUAAGUAAUGUGAAUUGCAGAAUUCAGUGAAUCAUCGAAUCUUUGAACGCACAUUGCGCCCGCCAGUAUUCUGGCGGGCAUGCCUGUUCGAGCGUCAUUACAACCCUCAGGCCCCCGGGCCUGGCGUUGGGGAUCGGCGGAGCCCCCCGUGGGCACACGCCGUCCCCCAAAUGCAGUGGCGGUCCCGCCGCAGCUUCCAUCGCGUAGUAGCUAACACCUCGCGACUGGAGAGCGGCGCGGCCACGCCGUAAAACACCCAACUCUUCUGAAGUUGACCUCGAAUCAGGUAGGAAUACCCGCUGAACUUAAGCAUAUCAAUAAGCGGAGG